UACGGGGGGGGCAAGCGUUGUUCGGAAUUACUGGGCGUAAAGGGCUCGUAGGCGGCCAACUAAGUCAGACGUGAAAUCCCUCGGCUUAACCGGGGAACUGCGUCUGAUACUGGAUGGCUUGAGAUUGGGAGAGGGAUGCGGAAUUCCAGGUGUAGCGGUGAAAUGCGUAGAUAUCUGGAGGAAUACCGGUGGCGAAGGCGGCAUCCUGGACCGACAUUGACGCUGAUGAGCGAAAGCUAGGGGAGCAAACGGG
rnacentral:rRNA from 1 species